UACGGAGGGUGCAAACGUUACCCGGAAUUAUUGGGCGUAAAGCGUCUGUAGGCUGUGUAGUAAGUCAGAUAUUAAAUCUCGGGGCUCAACUCUGAGUUCGUAUUUGAAACUGUUACACUAGAGGAUUGCAGAGGUAAGUAGAAUUCUGUGUGGAGGGGUUAAAUCCGUAGAUAUACAGAGGAAUACCAAAAGCGAAGGCAACUUACUGGGCAACUCCUGACGCUGAGAGACGAAAGCGUGGGUAGCGAACGGG
rnacentral:misc_RNA from 1 species